CUACCCCCGCAUCUCCGUCAACAACGUGCUGCCCGUCUUCGACAACCUGAUGCAGCAGAAGCUGGUGGACCAGAACAUCUUCUCCUUCUACCUGAGCAGGUGGGCGUGUGGGUUCCCUCUCGCUCCGCGUUGCUGGGAGGCAGGGCGGGGCUGGACGGGGAGCCUUCUAGGCACCCCCUCUCAGUGCUGCCCCCUCCCUGCUGCUGUGCCAGAGCUCCUGACCUCUGACCUCAGGGCAUCCGGGAGGCGGGGGUUGGCCGCCCUUCUGCAGAGGAGUAAGCGGCAGCACAGAGAAAGCUGUUUGGCCGGGGUCUCCCAGUGGGAGGGGCUCGGGCCAGGCUGUGGGUCCUGGGACCUUGGCAGCUGGGCCUCCCUCCUAUGAGAAUGGACCCAGGUCAGGGGUCGUGGCAGUUCCUCUUGGUUCAGUCGGCCCGUCGGUCCCCAGACCUGGUGAUGGGCACAUGUGGUCCUGGUCCCGGGGUUGCUGAUGGUGGAGAGGGUCAUGGUGCCCAGGGGACCGGGGAUCCCCGGGGAGGGGAAAGGGAAGGAGCAGGAUGCCCACCUGGCUGUGGCUGUCUUACCCCAUGGAAUCCAGGCUCCAACUGACCUCACCAUUCUGUGGGUUAAUUUUCAUUCUUAAAACCUUCAUCUAAAGACCUUUGCUUCCUGGAAUACAGGCCUGGGUUUUCCCAACAGUCGUGGGCACCCGGCCUGGCACGUGCUGCUCAGUGGAGGGACCUCACAGCCCGUUCUAUGUGAGCCGUGCAGGAAAAGCUCCACGGACAAACUCACUCUCCGUGACAAUCAGGAGGUUUCUUCUCCAACCACCAGAAGGAGCUGGGGGAGCUCAUGAGGCCAGGAAGAGAACAGUCCUAAUCCCAUCCUUCCCCUCCUCAGCAGUGACCCCAGGGUCUGCUGUCCUGCCCCAACCCGCACUUCAAAGAAGGAAGGACACCUGCCUUCCCCUGCUACCUCACACCCCGAAGCAUGGGGAGCAUGGGGACCCUCGGCAGAGUCCUUUUGUAGUGAAGAAUAACAGACUAGUGUAAAAUAGCAGAAAAGAAGCUAAUGGCCAAACACAUCCAAGCUGGGGAAAACACCUGUUAAAUAUAAUGACAGAAUAUGCUCUCAUCAAAACCCAGGAAACUUUAAGAAUACACUAAACCUCACAAAAUGGGGGCGAAAUACAAUGAUGACCACACGUAUGAGAAAUGGUCAAUGGUAGAAUUGAAAGAAAUGCAAGGGAAAUAAAAGCCACAGCCCACGAAUGCAGGUGCAGCCACAGAAGCGCUGGCAGAGGGGAGGCUGAGAGUGGCGCUGGUUGAAGAUUUCUCACAGGAAACAAAAGGCACAGCCUCCACGUGGCUCAUGGCCAUGAAAACCCUUGACUCAAACCAUUCCACGUCGUGAGGAAGACGCGGGUCAGCUGCCCUAGUUGGGUGAUGAUGAUGCUGUCAGGGAAAGCGUCGGUGCCUAUGUGGGGAGAGUAGGGGAGUGAGAAACAAAAGCAAAGCGUGGUGGCUCUGUGGCUCCGGUGCCCCGGAGGCCAUGGCUCACUUUUUCACAAUGAACAUGGGCUAUUUUCAUUUUUUAAAGUCUGCUAAUGUUUCUAAGGAGACCAUACAGAACCGAAAAUUCUGAAUAACCUUGUCUUCCAUAAGGCAGACUUUUCAUUUCUGUCAUCUUUCCGGAAGGGCUGGACACAGAGACUGUGGGUCUGUGAUGGAGGUGCCACCAUCUCACCCCGAGUCCACGGCCCUCAGUCUCUGUGCUCCCCGAGCCGAAGGUGAGGAAUCCAUGCCUUAUGGUUGGCGAGGGCUGCUGGGGCACCUGCCAUCUCAUCUGCAUCCUGGGAAGCAGGAAGGAGCACAGAGGAAAACACAAGCCUGCUCUGGCCAGCUCAGUGUGCUCCUUCCAGAAACAGAAGCCAGGGCCAUGCCAUUGAACUUCUCAGCCAGCAGAACUGUGAGCUUGAUGAAUUACCCCAUCACAGAGGUUCUUUUAUGGCUACACAGAAUGGACUCAGACACCCAUGCUCACAGCCGUGCAGUCACAAUAGCCCAAAGGUGGAAACAACCCAGCAGAACACACUAGAGGGUCCCGGCAUCCUGAUGAGUCCACUGUCCCCGCGAUGGUUUUCAGGGAUGGAGAAGGCUCCCUGUCCUCCGCUGGAACCCUGCAGCCGGGCUGACGGUACCCCCACCACCCACCCAGGGGCCCCCAGACCCUCCCCAUCUCCACCGCCAACCCAGGCCCCGGCUGCGCACGCGGGGCCAGGCCGUGAGCUGCUGUCCCCGGAUGGGGCCGCCCCGGGCUGGCCUGGCUCACUCCGUGUCACAGAUAUUCCCACAGAGACCCCAGCGAGACCUGCAGAACAUUACAGCAGAAUGAAGGAGAGCCAGAGGAAGAGGCAGAUGUGCUGGCCUGUAAACAGUCUGAUUUCCAAUGUAAACCAGAUUCAGGCCCACGACAUCAGGAUGUGGGAAUUUGUGUAC
rnacentral:lncRNA from 1 species